rnacentral:lncRNA from 1 species
AAUGACCAUGAAAGAGGCUCCGAGCGAUGCGACCUUUGCGAGUUGGGGAGAUUGUGGGACGAAUCAUGAAGAUGAGGAUCCAUUAGGGAAGAAUCUAAAUUUGCAACAAAGCGAAUCAAAACUGCGACUGUUGAACAAACAAAUCUCAGCCAUUAUUAAAUAAUUGGUUCAAAUGGAUAAUAUCGAUAGAUGAACUCUUACUGAUAGCAUAGAGAGUCAAAUGGUUUAGAAUUAACAGCUAGAAGAUUUUGUUUGUUAUUGUUUUUAUUUUCACGCUAUUAUGGAGAUAUUAUAGGGAUUUGAUAGGGACAACAAUUAGUAUUUGCACGCUCCAUCUUUCUCUAUAAAUCAGAAUUGUAUUACCAC